rnacentral:rRNA from 1 species
CCUACGGGUGACAGCAGUGAGGAAUAUUGGUCAAUGGCCGCAAGGCUGAACCAGCCAAGUCGCGUGAGGGAUGACGGCCCUAUGGAUUGUAAACCUCUUUUGUCAGGGAGCAAAGGGCGCCACGUGUGCCGCUUUGCGAGUACCUGAAGAAAAAGCAUCGGCUAACUCCGUGCCAGCAGCCGCGGUAAUACGGAGGAUGCGAGCGUUAUCCGGAUUUAUUGGGUUUAAAGGGUGCGCAGGCGGAAUGUCAAGUCAGCGGUAAAAUUUCGGGGCUCAACCCCGUCGUGCCGUUGAAACUGGCGUUCUUGAGUGCGCGAGAAGUAUGCGGAAUGCGUGGUGUAGCGGUGAAAUGCAUAGAUAUCACGCAGAACUCCGAUUGCGAAGGCAGCAUACCGGCGCUCAACUGACGCUCAUGCACGAAAGCGUGGGUAUCGAACAGGAUUAGAUACCCGAGUAGUC